UGACCUCGUGGCAGGAGGGUUGCAUUAAUCAUGAAGUUGGUGCACCAACAUGGCCCAUGGCAUUACACUCAGGCUGCUCUGACCUUUAUAAAUUCUCCAUUGGGGAUCUGGAUUAUAUUAUUUUUGGUAGUGGGGGACUCUAUUUGGGGUUUCCCCAG